rnacentral:rRNA from 1 species
CUAGCGUUGUUCGGAAUUACUGGGCGUAAAGCGUGCGCAUGCGGCUUCUCAAGUCAGGGGUGAAAGCCCAGAGCUCAACUCUGGAAUUGCCUUUGAGACUGAGUGGCUUGAGUACGAGAGAGGUGAGUGGAAUUCCCAGUGUAGAGGUGAAAUUCGUAGAUAUUGGGAAGAACACCGGUGGCGAAGGCGGCGACCUGGGUAGAUACUGACGCUGAGGCGCGAAAGCGUGGGGAGCAAACAGG